GACGUAGGUGGCGAGCGUUAUUCGGAUUCACUAGGCGUAAAGCGUGUGUAGGCGGGUUCUUAAGUCCGCUGUGAAAUCUCCUGGCUCAACCGGGAGGGGUCAGCGGAUACUGAGAGUCUUGAAUUGGGUAGGGGGGUCCGGAAUUCCUGGUGUAGCGGUGAAAUGCGCAGAUAUCAGGAGGAACACCGGCGGCGAAGGCGGGACCCUGGGCCUGGAUUGACGCUGAGACACGAAAGCUAGGGGAGCAAAC
rnacentral:rRNA from 1 species